rnacentral:rRNA from 1 species
AUCGAUGGGAGCUUGCUCCCUGAGAUCAGCGGCGGACGGGUGAGUAACACGUGGGUAACCUGCCUGUAAGACUGGGAUAACUCCGGGAAACCGGGGCUAAUACCGGAUAACACCUACCCCCGCAUGGGGGAAGGUUGAAAGGUGGCUUCGGCUAUCACUUACAGAUGGACCCGCGGCGCAUUAGCUAGUUGGUGAGGUAAUGGCUCACCAAGGCGACGAUGCGUAGCCGACCUGAGAGGGUGAUCGGCCACACUGGGACUGAGACACGGCCCAGACUCCUACGGGAGGCAGCAGUAGGGAAUCUUCCGCAAUGGACGAAAGUCUGACGGAGCAACGCCGCGUGAGUGAAGAAGGUUUUCGGAUCGUAAAACUCUGUUGUUAGGGAAGAACAAGUGCCGUUCGAAUAGGGCGGCGCCUUGACGGUACCUAACCAGAAAGCCACGGCUAACUACGUGCCAGCAGCCGCGGUAAUACGUAGGUGGCAAGCGUUGUCCGGAAUUAUUGGGCGUAAAGCGCGCGCAGGUGGUUUCUUAAGUCUGAUGUGAAAGCCCACGGCUCAACCGUGGAGGGUCAUUGGAAACUGGGGAACUUGAGUGCAGAAGAGGAAAGUGGAAUUCCAAGUGUAGCGGUGAAAUGCGUAGAUAUU